CCCCCCCCAUUUCUUUUACCCCUUCACGUUCUCUUCUACUAUUUUUUGCAAGUAAUUCAACAAGCAGCAGCUCCCACUCAACGAAGAGGCAGCAGCAACAUUGAACUCCAGCAAGCCUCAUUCUCGUCAGAAGCAGCGACAACAAAUCAGCAAGGCCCUCGUGUCUUCUUAGGUAUCCAAGACUUGUGUCCUUGAAGCUAUUCGAAAGGACUUCGAAUUAUAUUUUUAAAUUCAUUAUUUUGUAUAUAUUGAUGUUAGACAAAUCUUAGGUCAAUACUAUUAUUUUAUUUCACUAUUUAUAUUGCUUGUUUAUUAUAUUUGUACAUUAUUUUAUUCUCCUAUUCAAUUUGAAAUUAUGAACUGACUUGGGAACCACAAUUGUGGAUUUCGAAAGA